rnacentral:rRNA from 1 species
UACGAAGGGGGCUAGCGUUGCUCGGAAUCACUGGGCGUAAAGGGUGCGUAGGCGGGUCUUUAAGUCAGGGUGAAUCCUGGAGCUCAACUCCAGAACUGCCUUUGAUACUGAGGAUCGUUGAGUUCGGGAGAGGUGAGUGGAACUGCGAGUGUAGAGGUGAAAUUCGUAGAUAUUCGGAAGAACACCAGUGGCGAAGGCGGCUCACUGGCCCGGUACUGACGCUGAGGUGCGAAAGCGUGGGGAGCGAACAGG